rnacentral:pre_miRNA from 1 species
AAUAUACUCCCUCCGUUCCAAAUUACUCGUCACAGAAAUGGAUGUAUCUAGAACUAAAAUACAUCUAGAUACAUCCAUACCUGCGACAAGUAAUUCGGAACGGAGGGAGUAGUGU